GCAAGGUUAAAACUCAAAUGAAUUGACGGGGGCCCGCACAAGCGGUGGAGCAUGUGGUUUAAUUCGAUGCAACGCGAAGAACCUUACCUGGUCUUGACAUCCACGGAAGUUUUCAGAGAUGAGAAUGUGCCUUCGGGAACCGUGAGACAGGUGCUGCAUGGCUGUCGUCAGCUCGUGUUGUGAAAUGUUGGGUUAAGUCCCGCAACGAGCGCAACCCUUAUCCUUUGUUGCCAGCGGUCCGGCCGGGAACUCAAAGGAGACUGCCAGUGAUAAACUGGAGGAAGGUGGGGAUGACGUCAAGUCAUCAUGGCCCUUACGACCAGGGCUACACACGUGCUACAAUGGCGCAUACAAAGAGAAGCGACCUCGCGAGAGCAAGCGGACCUCAUAAAGUGCGUCGUAGUCCGGAUUGGAGUCUGCAACUCGACUCCAUGAAGUCGGAAUCGCUAGUAAUCGUGGAUCAGAAUGCCACGGUGAAUACGUUCCCGGGCCUUGUACACACCGCCCGUCACACCAUGGGAGUGGGUUGCAAAAGAAGUAGGUAGCUUAACCUUCGGGAGGGCGCUUACCACUUUGUGAUUCAUGACUGGGGUGAAGUCGUAACAAGGUAACCGUAGGGGAACCUGCGGUUGGAUCACCUCCUUACCUUAAAGAAGC
rnacentral:rRNA from 1 species